GACGAACGCUGGCGGCGUGCUUAACACAUGCAAGUCGAACGGAAAGGCCCUGCUUUUGUGGGGUGCUCGAGUGGCGAACGGGUGAGUAACACGUGAGUAACCUGCCCUUGACUUUGGGAUAACUUCAGGAAACUGGGGCUAAUACCGGAUAGGAGCUCCUGCUGCAUGGUGGGGGUUGGAAAGUUUCGGCGGUUGGGGAUGGACUCGCGGCUUAUCAGCUUGUUGGUGGGGUAGUGGCUUACCAAGGCUUUGACGGGUAGCCGGCCUGAGAGGGUGACCGGCCACAUUGGGACUGAGAUACGGCGCAGACGCCUACGGGAGGCAGCAGUGGGGAAUAUUGCACAAUGGGCGGAAGCCUGAUGCAGAAACGCCGCGUGCGGGAUGACGGCCUUCGGGUUGUAAACCGCUUUCGCCCGUGACGAAGCGUGAGUGACGGUAAUGGGUAAAGAAGCACCGGCUAACUACGUG
rnacentral:rRNA from 1 species